UUCGCCAUAUUGUUAUUUCCAACCGAGGAACACAAUCGGCGUAGUCCUCUCUCGUCACUACUGUCAACCACACCUUAGGAUAUCCUGGCAUUUUGUAGAAUUAAGCCUUGCUGAAGUUAGUGCAGUCAGCACACAGUAAAAGGAGGACCAGACUCUUGAUUCCAGAUUCAUUUUGUCGGGGUAAGAUCAGCAACAUCAUUUAAACCACAGCAAAGUUCAUUGCUUAUUGGAUGUAGGUGUCUUAGUGAAACCUUUUCGUGCCAUCACCAUUUAUGUGACACGUCACACCAUCUGUGCAUCACAUUAUCACCGUCUGUGUACUACGUCAUCACUGUCAUCAUGCCAGUUCUUAGCCGAAGUGACCAAAUAGAGAAAGUAACAAGUCACGUGAAUCAGAUGAAGCGCCACCUGCAAUGUCAGCGCACGCCAAUGAGUGUCUCCAUUCAAGAAAUGAUUACUUUUUGUGAACAAAACAUCGCAAAUGAUCCGCUUGUUUAUCCUGUGAAGGAUAAUCUUUUCAAGGACGACUCAUGUAAAAUGUGCACAAUAAUAUGAGCAAAAUGUCACAUUCCAAAAGGUCACUUAAAUUGUUGUUAAGUGCUAAUUGUCAUGCAAAUUGCACGAGUUUACUUGUUUGACGGGUUUUUGAUAACUGUUUUCACCACAGGUGCUUGAAUCUAUAUCUCCUAGAGACUGCGGUUUUAAGUAGGGAUACUCUGGCUGUAGUAUUCGUGCACAAGGUUAAGAUUUUGUUUUAAGUAGUGAAAUCGGGGAUUGAUUCAGUAUAUGUGGUUAAUACAGUUUUAUUCACUUGGCAUGAACGAUAUUGAGACUUAAAUGUCAUUUUUAGGAAUAUCUUUGGGUUUAAAAUGGAAUCUCGCUAAUCCAACCGGUAUUUUUUAUAUAUUCAUUUAUAUAUUUAAUUGUUCCAUUAAAAGUGGUAAUUCGAUAUUCCGGAGUCAGAGGAAUCUGCACUAAAUUGUCCGGAUUAGCUACAUUCCACGUUAUGUGUUAGUAGUAGUUUAGAUGCAUAAUCACACAGUCUGAUGUUUACUUUAGGACGCAUGUACCUAUUUUUUUCUGUUUUUGUGUCGGCUAGUCUUGGGAGGGUCGAUUAAUUUAAGUCAUGGGAUCGGGUUGUUUAUCCGUCAAUAUCCAGUCACAGAAAAUACUUUCCUCUUUCUUCAUGAUUCAAAAAGCAAAUAAAAUCGGUUUCAAGUUGAAAAAAACCCCAAGCAACAAUGUUAUUAUAUCCGUUCUCACACCGUAGUGUAUGUAGAUACUGAAAUAUGUUAUAUCACUACCACUACUUUGUCAGAUCGGUUACAUUGUGAUUUUAUGAUUCAUGUACAUUGCUUUGUAUAACAGAAAAUUACGGACAAAACGACGGCGUAUAAAGCUCAUUCAUUUAAUUUUAUAUUUAUUUUGAAAUUAAAUAGUACGGAAAAAUCAGCAAUAUCUCACGUUCUUUCCAUAAAUUCUUUAUGAUCAACAAAUUGAUAUUGGGACGGACUGAUUUGACGGAGGUAGACUAUGGGGCGGAGCAGGAAUUGAAUCUUGAAACAACAGCAUAAUGUUAAUCUAAAGAGUAUAGGAUAAAGCAUGCAUCAUAUAUUAUUUGCGCAAGGAGGAAUAUCCUAAAAAUCAACUGAAGUAGAGAAAAGAAAGAUUUUUCAUUUAUAAUAAACUUUUACGGUUUAGUUUUGUUUCAUACAAGAUACAUCUGCGUGCAAUAUGUCUGUAUCAUAUUGGAUAUUCCUGCUUGUAACUUGACGAAGUUUGCAUGUUGUAACGUAUAUACGUUUAUUGUCAAUGUCAGUUUGCAUGUAGUUAUUGUCAAAUUGUAAGAUACAUGAUUAAUUGUUAUUGUAAGUCAGUAUAUUCAUCCAAUCUAUACACAUCAUUAUCAUACUAUAAAACUGUCAGUAACAAAGAAAACAUGUUUACAUCUUAAUAAAACCAUACCAUCUUA